CAGGGAUUUCGCCUCAGCUUCGUUGCUUCUCCGCUCGCUUCACUCGGUUCGAGUUACCUCACCCGGAGCCAUGUCCCACCACAUGAAGAUUAAGGAUCUGCGCGAGAAGAGCAAGGAUGAUCUUCUCAAGACGCUGACGGAGUACAAGAAGGAGCUGUCGCAGCUGCGCGUGGUGCAGCAGACGGGCGGCGCCGAGACCCGCCUGGGCCGCAUCCGCCCGAUCCGCAAGAGCAUUGCUCGCAUUCUGACCGUGCUGAACCAGAACGAGCGCAGCAACCUGAAGAUGUUCUACGCGGACCGAAAGCUGCGCUGCAAGACGCCGAAGGUGCUGCGCGCGAAGCUGACGCACCGCCGCCGCCUAGCGCUGAAGGAGAACGAGAAGAACCGGAAGACGUCGCGCCAGAUGCGCCAGGCACACAAGUUCCCCAAGCGCGUGUACGCCGUCAAGAUCUAAAGCGCGCGUGCGAAGCGACACUUUUGGGUGUGCGUGUGUGCAGCGCAUCAACGCACAGCAAUGGUGAUGUGUGCGGUGGAGGCUGACUAUCGAGGCUCCCGCCCGAUGGGUAGUGAAGAGGUGGAUGUGGCUGGCGCGGCGUGUUUCUAUGCAGCGUGCGAGGAGGGCGAAAGGGGGAUGGGAGGGAGGCGGAGAGGGAGUUGAGGUGGGCGUCUUAUCGCUGACGCUGUAUCGCCGCCGACCCCUCUUUUUUCCCGCCUUCCUUUCAUCUGUGCAUUCUCCACUCGCUGCCUCUGCGAACGCCCUCUCCUCCUCUCCCCAUCACAUGUUCUCUUGCUCGCGUCAUGGGCGCGCUCGACACUGCCACACGAGUAUUUGCCUCUUGAGGACUGUUUGAUGGUUUCGCGGCGUCGACGGAACGGCUGCAGCAUCGCUGGUCAUACACUCCUUUCCACGGCUUCCCUCGCCCUCUUUUCUUAUUUCCUUCUUUUCCAUUUCCUUUCACCUUCGCGGCGAAAACGACGAUAGAGGACGCGCCAACAACAACGACCACACAACCGUGGGUGUACGCAGGCACUUGCUCACGGCCUCGCAGCUGCCCCCCAUUGCUGACGCACGCACACCAUGCCCCACUUGUCACUAAGGGGGGGGGUGCUGCGGGACUGGAGUGCGUGUGUGUCUCUCACGUUGUGGGCGUAUGCAUGUGUGUAUCAGCGGCGGCGCAUUGCGUUCCCGCUUCGACUCGAGCUUUAUUCUCGAGCUCCUCUAC
rnacentral:misc_RNA from 1 species